GGGGAUGUAGUUAAUAAUAACAUUUAAUUUGCAAUUAAAAAGAACUAAUUAUAGUCUUCCUCA
rnacentral:tRNA from 1 species